rnacentral:rRNA from 1 species
AUGGCGACCGGCGCACGGGUGAGUAACACGUAUCCAACCUGCCGAUAACUCGGGGAUAGCCUUUCGAAAGAAAGAUUAAUACCCGAUGGUAUAAUCAGACCGCAUGGUUUGAUUAUUAAAGAAUUUCGGUUAUCGAUGGGGAUGCGUUCCAUUAGGCAGUUGGUGAGGUAACGGCUCACCAAACCUUCGAUGGAUAGGGGUUCUGAGAGGAAGGUCCCCCACAUUGGUGCUGAGACACGGACCAA